CAAAUUCCCUCUUAGUUUGAAACCUGUUACCGGUAAUCUAGGUCAGUAUGUAAAAGCCAGAAACAUAAACGAAAAACAAGUGGGUCUCUCUCAACUUCAUAUCCUCUCUCUCUCUCUCUCGUGUGCUCCUUCCCUUAAAAAAACUUAGAUUGCUUCUUCUCCCAUGUCCGCCAAUUUCUUCACUUCACCCCAUCGGCGUCCCUCAUUUACUCACCGUUGAGGGUUUCUUAAAGGAUCAAAUUGUUUUGAUUUUGUUUAAGGUAUUGGGAACCUUAUUACAUUGCAUCAGUAGGAUUUGGGAACGGUGAAAUCAGAUGAUGAGAUGAGAUUGAAGGAGAAAUAGGAGGUGAGAGCUUGAAAAAAUACCGUGUUGAUAAUGUUCUUAACCAAAGGGAAGCUUUUUUAGUAUUUCAUUGAUUUCAGAGCAAGGACAAUCCAUUGGGAGUUAAUGCAAUGAAGUGGUGCUAAAGGACUUGGCUUUGUCAUAUUGCUGACAAGAAGAUAAGCAGUGCUUAUGGUCAUAUUGGGUCUGGAGAGAGCAGUUGCAAAUGAUGAAAGACUUGUAAUUGAUAAAGUUGCAAGAAGGGAGUGCUCCUCCCCCCCCCCCCCCCCCCCCCCCCCCCCCCCCCCCCCCCCCUCUUUCUUUGAACUAAUAGCUUGUGCAAGCCUUGAUUAAAGCUGGGAUGAAAACUUUCUUUCAUAAGAUGAAUAUUGUAAAUACUAUUGCAAUUUAGCAUCCAUCAGGCUAAUAGAUUUUUUAAUCUAUUUGUUUAAUUAUUAUAAAUAAGUUCAUAGCAUCA